rnacentral:rRNA from 1 species
AGCCUUUGGAAAGGAUUAAAGGUUAUACCUGCCCAAUGUUAUAUUAAUGGCCGCGGUACUUUGACCGUGCUAAGGUAGCACAAUCAAUUGGCCCUUAAUUAGGGUCAGGUAUGAAUGGAGUUACGGGGCUUAGCUGUCUCUAGACUAUUUAAUUGAAGUUGCUAUAUAGGUGAAAAAGCCUGUAUCAAGAAAAAAGACGAGAAGACCCUUAGAGUUUUACUUAAAAAAGAGUUAUUUCUUCACUAGUUUUGUUGGGGCAACAUAGGAGAAGAACUAAACCUCCUAAAGGAUAUAAACCGAUGUUUUUAAAUGUGAAUAAACUACCUUAGGGAUAACAGCAUAAUUUUAAAAAUAAGUUUGUGACCUCGAUGUUGGACUAGGAAACUUAAGGGCUAGCCGCCUUUUGGUAAGGUUCUGUUCGAACUAUAAUUCCU